GCAUUCAGCCGAAGUCCACAACUUCGGUAGCAUUCGGGCGAAACGCCGCAGACGGGACCUCCGCAGGCCCAGCGCACCUCCCCGCGGAUAGAUGGUUCUUCUUCGUUCAGGCCGAGAUCCACUGCUCACUGCACCGAGCCGAGCGCAGGUUAGGCGGGCGCGCGAUCACCGAAGCCGACGCGGCGCCCGCACGCGCCAACGGCCGAACGCACUCUCUCUCUCUCUCUCUCUCUCUCUCUCUCUCCCCUCUCCGUUGUGCUCCCCGACCCAACCCUACGCGCUCCUGCCGCCCCCCCGCAGGCCGCAGCUACAUCUCUCCUCCCACCUCGCCAGUCGCCACCGCGCGGUGGGAGCUCGCUGAAGUGCUUCCCCCCGCUUUGCGGCAGCGUCAGCUCAGACCCCUUGCCCGCGCUCUCGUUGUCUGGCGGGCUCAGCUGGUUUGGUCAGCGUGGCGAGGUUGUCCUGGCCAGAUCCUGCUCCCGCCCGCGCACGACUGGGUGUGGGCGGUGGAUUGGCUGCGCGGGUCAUCAGAUCUAUGCCGGAGAUCUAGGGCGCCAGGUGCCGAGGUGGAGGCCGUGAGCCGGUGGCGAUCGGAGGGCCGAGGACAGGGAUGGCGUGGUGGUCCGGGAAGGUGUCGCUCGGCGGCCUGCAGGACAUCGCUGGAGCCGUCAACAAGAUCAGCGAGAGCGUGAAGAACAUCGAAAAGAACUUCGACAGCGCGCUCGGCCUAGAGGAGAAGCGUGACGAUGAAGAUGCAUCAGGAUCACAGACAUCCAACUCUGAUAGAAUAGGAUUCUUCAAUCCUGUCAUGGCUUUCAUGGGACACAAUGGUGAGGAGGAUGGCACUGAAGUAUCAGAAAAGCCACAAUCUCUGAAGAAUCUGUCAGCAGAGGAAGGAAUUAAUAGCACACCAACUAAGAAACAUAUAUCUGAGGUAGAUCCUUCGGAAGUAUCAGGAACAACAUCUCCAAAACUGCCUUCAAAAUCGGAAGAAGUUCAUAGUAUUUCCAAUGGGUCACCUGUUUCUAAGGCAGAUGUUUCUGAGCAAUCCAUAACACCACAAACUCCAACACAUCCUUCAGUAGCAGAAGAAAAGCUUGAUAGCUCUACUGAGGCACCUGCAUCUAAGGUGGGUGAUGCUGAAGCAUCAGAAACAUCACAAUCUGCAGGACAUCCUUCAACAGUGGAAGAAAACCAGCACCAUCAAGUUAGCAAACAUUCUGAUCCUAGUGAUGAAGCAGAGCCGAAUCAGCUUAGAGAGUCUGUUCGAGACUUACCUGAUGGUAGUGCAUCUUCUUCGCCUACUAAAAUACAUCAAUCAGGUGACACCGAAACAGGGGAAUCUAUUCACACAGGAAAGGAAGAUACGUCUGAUAGGAACAUCUUGCAGUCACAACCAGCAGAGUCUGCGCUAGCUAGUUCAGAUGAUAUAACGGAAGCUGAGGACAAUAUUGCUCAAGAAUAUGAUGCCCCAAAAGAACUUAGUGGCCCACAGGAGAGUAGUGAUAUGGUAGACAAAGGUACUCAUCUUGAAGUUAAAUUACAUGAUAGCAAUAUUAAUACUGAAAAAAGUGAGGAAGAAAGCAAUAAGAUGGAGUCAGGGGAAUCAUCUGUUGUUGUACAGGAGGAUAAUGCAAUGGAGCAACCUCAAGACUUAACGUUGAAGUCCUUAACUGCAGAGCAUGACUCAAAUUCGCAGAACGAGUCAGUGAUCAAUUCGACUGAUAUACCUGUUGGACUAGGUGAAGGUCCUCCAAAUGAUUUUACAAAAGAAGAAAAGAUUCUAGAAUCUGUUAGAGGCACAGAUUCUCAGACUCUGGACUCUGUUGUUUCUGUCGAUGAGCUAGAGAAAUUAAGACGUGAAUUGAAGAUGAUGGAAGCUGCAUUGCAAGGUGCUGCAAGACAGUCACAGUCCAAAGCUGAUGAAAUUGCAAGGUUGAUAAAUGAGAAUGAGCAACUAAAAUCAACAAUCGAUGAUCUCAAGAGUAAGUCAUCUGAAGCAGAAAUGGAUUCACUGAAGGAUGAAUAUCACCAAAGAGUAGCAACUCUUGAAAGGAAGGUAUAUGCACUAACCAAAGAGCGUGAUACACUAAGGAGAGAACAGAAUAAAAAAAGUGAUGCAGCUGCCCUUUUGAAAGAAAAGGAUGAGAUCAUCAAUCAGGUCAUGGCUGAAGGUGAAGAACUAUCCAAAAAACAAGCUGCUCAAGAAGCUACAAUACGAAAACUGAGAGCACAGAUUCGUGAGUUUGAAGAAGAAAAACAACGCCUGAACUCAAAGAUCCAGGUUGAGGAGGCUAAGGUUGAGAGCAUCAAGAGAGACAAAGCAGCAACUGAGAAGUUGCUUCAAGAAACAAUAGAAAGAAAUCAGACUGAACUUGCAGCUCAAAAGGAGUUCUACACCAAUGCUCUUAAUGCGGCUAAAGAGGCUGAGGCAUUGGCUGAAGCAAGAGUCAACAGUGAAGCCAAAAUUGAACUGGAGAAUCUUUUAGGAGAAGCUGGUGAAAAAGAAAAUAUGCUGAUUAAGACAAUCGAGGAGUUGAGGCAUUUUCUCACCCGGCAAGAACAGGAGGCUGCUUUCAGGGAAAAAAGACUAAAAGGGGACUAUGAUGAUCUUCAAAAGCGGUAUCAAGCCAGUGAACUUCGUUAUAAUGAACUGGUAACGCAAGUUCCUGAGUCUACCAGACCGCUUCUAAGACAAAUUGAAGCCAUGCAGGAGACAACUGCUCGAAGGGAAGAUGCUUGGGCUGGUGUGGAGAGAACCUUAAACUCUCGCCUUCAGGAAGCAGAAGCUAAAGCUGCUUCUUCAGAAGAAAAGGAGCGAUCUGUAAAUGAGAGAUUGUCACAAAGUUUAUCCCGGAUAACUGUCCUUGAGACCCAGAUUACAAUUCUUAGAACAGAGCAGACACAGCUGAGCCGAUCUCUUGAAAAGGAGAGGCAGAGAGCAUCUGAAAGUAGACAGGAGUACCUAGCAAUCAAAGAGGAGGCAGCAAUACAAGAAGGGCGAGCUAAACAGUUUGAAGAAGAGAUGAAGGAGCUUAGAGCUAGGCACAAGGAGGAGCUGCAAGAAGCAGCAGAACACAGGGACCUGCUUGAGAAGAAAAGGACCACAUCAUCAGCAUACAAGGAUAUUCUAUGAUGUAGGGGUCUAGAUGAAAGAGGUUGCAACAGUCCUUCAUCAGCCUCAGUAACUAGAAGCCCAAGAACAUCCAUUACUUGAAGGUUAUGCCAUAGGCAUUUUAUUAGGGCCAUUGUUUUUUCUUAGUCAAGAAAUCUGUUUUUGUGCCAUGAUCAUAUGGUUGCUACUGAAAUGGACCUUGAAAGGGAAAAGGCUGCCAGGGCAGAAAUUGAGAAAACAUCUUCCCGUGAAGCGCCUAAAGCUCCACUUCCCGAUCAAACAAGAAAUGCCCCUCUCAGAAAGCUGUCUAGUUCUGGCAGUAUAAAUAGUCUAGAAGAAAGCCAUUUUCUUCAAGCAUCGUUGGAUUUAUCUGACAAUGCUUCAUUAGAGAGGCGAAUGUCUUCAGAAAGUAAUAUGUCGUAUUAUCUGAAGACCAUGACUCCAAGUGCUUUUGAAUCAGCACUUCGUCAAAAAGAUGGAGAGCUGGCUUCUUACAUGUCACGCUUGGCCUCAUUGGAAUCUAUUCGGAAUUCACUAGCAGAGGAGUUGGUAAAACUGACAGAACAAUGUGAAAAGUUACGGACUGAAGCCACUGCUGUGCCUGGCUUAAGGGCUGAAUUGGAAGCUCUGAAACAAAGGCACUUUCAAGCUCUAGAACUCAUGGGGGAACGUGAUGAAGAGUUGGAGGAGCUAAGAAAUGAUAUUGUUGACUUAAAAGAGAUGUACAGAGAGCAGGUGGAUCUUCUUGUUAGCCAGCUCCAGUCAUUGGGUGCUCGUGUAUAGCGCUGCCUGCGCUGGUAUGAAUUUGUCAUACCAUCUAAUUCUCGUCCAGUGCAUCGCGGCCAGGCCAAGAUACCAGGUCCGUGACUUGAGCAUGUUUUGUUUCAAAUUUUGUAACACCAUACAACGGCACUGAAUGUUUUCGUUUGUAUACAUCGGAACACAGUUGUUGGGUUUAGGAGGAUACGUUGUUGUAUACUAGUAGGUUGAGUAGUUUCACAGCUUUACGUGUAUUCUUUGUGAUUUGUUUCCGUUGAAAUGUAUCAAAUUUGAAUCCAUUUGCAAGUGUACCUCAGAGGAAUGCAAUCAAUAAUAUCGAGAGCUCCUUUUGUCC